CGGGGCGUAGCUCAGCCUGGUAGAGCGUCUGGUUUGGGACCAGAAGGUCGCACGUUCAAAUCGUGUCGCCCCGAC
rnacentral:tRNA from 1 species